ACUAAUUUCCGUGUCUAACUUUAACCGUUCAUCUUAUUUAAAAAUAUAAUUAAUAUUUUUAUUGUUAUUAGCUGGUAACACAUGAAUACUACGACUAUUUUUUAAUUUAUUCAUAAAAUUUUUUAUAAGUGGAAAGGUUAAAGUUAGACACGUAAAUC
rnacentral:pre_miRNA from 1 species